rnacentral:rRNA from 1 species
GGACCUGACUGCUAUCGGAUUGACUCUAAGCCAUGCGAGUCUUUGUAGUAAUACAAGGCAGACGGCUCAGUAACACGUAGUCAAUCUAACCUAUGGACAGGGAUAACCUCGGGAAACUGAGAAUAAUACCUGAUAGAUCAUUAUACCUGGAAUGGUUUAUGGUCGAAAUGAUUUAUCGCCGUAGGAUGGGACUGCGGUCUAUCAGCUUGUUGGUGAGGUAAUGGCCCACCAAGGCUAUAACAGAUACGGGCUCUGAGAGGAGAAGCCCGGAGAUGGGUACUGAGACACGGACCCAGGCCCUAUGGGGCGCAGCAGGCGAGAAAACUUUGCAAUGUGCGAAAGCACGACAAGGUUAAUCCGAGUGUUUUCUGCUAAAGAAAUCUUUUGUCAGUCCUAAAAACACUGAUGAAUAAGGGGUGGGCAAGUUCUGGUGU